rnacentral:lncRNA from 1 species
UCUUGCAUCAAUGAGGAAUGCACAAAACUGAAAAGUAAUUUCAUCCCUGUACAUUUUCCUAAAUGGAUUAUUCCCGAGAAUGGGCCAAGUUUAUCUAAAGGAAACUUAAGGCCUAAAUAAGAUAAUGGGCUUGAAGAAUCAAAAGGAAGCCCAAGUUUGGGCCAAACAUGAGAAGGCCUCAAGCCCUCCUGGUCCCAAAGACAUUCGGCCAAGGCAAGUUACCUGCACACGUAACAUAUGCAUAUGUGCGAGAAGGCCAUCUGCACAGCCCGCACAUGUGCAUAACAAGGCCUGCAUGCACAUGGAUUUAGGUUGGGUAGUAGCCCUGCCUACACGGCCUAACAGGUUUGCAAGUCCCCACACACGUGGACACAUUUGACCUAGGCGCAUGCUAAGCACGCAAGCCU